rnacentral:misc_RNA from 1 species
AAAAAAAAAAAAAAAAAAGAAAAAUGGGUAGGUUAAAACAUUCACCAACAAAGAAAAGAAAGAAGAACAACAGAAAAGAAAGAAGAAGAAAAAGAAAAAGAAAGGGAGUACCUUCAACGGCAGUCGGCAGCGUCGCAGUUCGCAGCGCGGGUAAGAAUCGCAACACCUUUCUCUUCUUUUCUCUCUGAUCUGUGCCAUAUUCACUCUUUGAUAUGCUCUCUCCAUCGUUAUCAACAGAAGAAAAAGAAGAAGAAGAAG